GUCUUUUGUCUAAGACAAUAAGAAGUAUUUUAAAAGAGCUUAUGUUUUAUAAAGAAUUAAUUUGGUCCUAAGAGAUGAGCGUUAUUUUUCUGGUACCACAACACACCUUAAGGAGACGAGUGGAGUUCUUGCUUUGACCAAUCGGGGCAUUUUUAAGACAAACCCACAAUUAGGUGACAUCAAACUACAUGCCAGAGCUGAGUGAGACAUCAUCAGGAUACAGCUUAAAAACUGCUAUGUCAUUCUGACUGGAUAAGUGCAGUUUAAUUCAUAUCAAAGAGAAGCAAGAUGAUGAAAAGACAUGAGCCCCAACUACAAGAAGGAAACCUGGCAGAUUGUCAGAACAGCUAGCCUUGGGAUCCCACAGAUUAAUGGCAAGCAUUAAGUGACCAGUUCGGACCAAUUUAAGUCUCAGAUAUGGUUUUCUUAUGAGAGCUUUUAUCACAGUGUCUGAGGGUAUCUGUUGACAGACAGGCCUCAGUGAGGGAUA